rnacentral:ncRNA from 2 species
UAACGUGCUCCGGGGUCAGUGAAAAUCUGAGCCGGCGGUGAUAGUCCGCGACCCGACUGCAACGAGAGUUGUUGGCGGUUGAUUGGGUGAAAUUCCUGAACCGACGGUUAAAGUCCGGAUGGUAGGAGGCGUAC